UUUAUUUGAGAGUUUGAUCCUGGCUCAGGAUGAACGCUGGCGGCGUGCCUAACACAUGCAAGUUGAGCGAUUUACUUCGGUAAAGAGCGGCGGACGGGUGAGUAACGCGUGGGUAACCUACCCUGUACACACGGAUAACAUACCGAAAGGUAUGCUAAUACGGGAUAAUAUAUUUGAGAGGCAUCUCUUGAAUAUCAAAGGUGAGCCAGUACAGGAUGGACCCGCGUCUGAUUAGCUAGUUGGUAAGGUAACGGCUUACCAAGGCGACGAUCAGUAGCCGACCUGAGAGGGUGAUCGGCCACAUUGGAACUGAGACACGGUCCAAACUCCUACGGGAGGCAGCAGU
rnacentral:rRNA from 1 species